rnacentral:rRNA from 1 species
ACUCCUACGGGAGGCAGCAGUGGGAAUAUUGGACAAUGGGGGCAACCCUGAUCCAGCAAUGCCGCGUGUGUGAAGAAGGCCUGAGGGUUGUAAAGCACUUUCAGUAGUGAGGAAAGGUUCUUGUUUAAGAGAUGAGAGCUGUGACGUUAGCUACAAAAGCAGCACCGGCUAACUCCGUGCCAGCAGCCGCGGUAAUACGGAGGGGGCUAGCGUUGUUCGGAAUUACUGGGCGUAAAGAGCGCGUAGGCGGAAUGGUAAGUUGGGAGUGAAAGCCCGGGGCUCAACCUCGGAAUUGCUCCCAAAACUGCCACUCUAGAGUAUGGUAGGGGUGAUGGAAUUCCUAGUGUAGAGGUGAAAUUCUUAGAUAUUAGGAGGAACACCGGUGGCGAAGGCGGUCACCUGGGCCAUAACUGACGCUGAUGCGCGAAAGCGUGGGGAGCAAACAGGAUUAGAUACCCUGGUAGGUCAGU